rnacentral:rRNA from 1 species
UACGGAGGGUGCGAGCGUUGUCCGGAUUUAUUGGGUUUAAAGGGUGCGUAGGCGGGCGGCUAAGUCAGGGGUGAAAGACGGUGGCUCAACCAUCGCAGUGCCCCUGAGACUGGUCGUCUUGGGUAAAGAUGAGGUAGGCGGAAUUGGUGCUGUAGCGGUGAAAUGCAUAGAUAGCCCCAGGAACUCCGAUUGCGCAGGCAGCUUACUGGGCUUUUACCGACGCUGAGGCACGAAAGUGUGGGGAUCCAACAGG